AGUGAUGGUGCAUCUGCAUUAGUCCUAGUGAGUGGAGAGAAGGCACUUCAACUUGGAUUGCAAGUAAUUGCAAAGAUUAAGGGCUAUGCUGAUGCAGCUCAGGCACCUGAAUUCUUUACAACUGCUCCAGCCCUUGUGAUACCAAAAGCUAUUUCAAAUGCUGGUUUAGAUACUUCUCAGAUUGAUUACUAUGAAAUAAAUGAAGCAUUUUCUGUUGUAGCUCUAGCCAAUCAAAAGCUGCUUGGUCUUAAUCCUGAAAGCCUUAACGUACAUGGUGGGGCUGUAUCAUUGGGACACCCAUUAGGAUGCAGUGGAGCUCAUAUCUUGGUCACAUUGUUAGGGGUAAUCUAUAAGCUUCCAUUCU